ACACGAUUAGCCAUCAUCAGUUGAAACAAGGGACUACAACAAGGGGACACAGAGGACAACUAAACAUAACAAAUCAUUUCUUCAAUUGUACACCAGGCGCCUAAUCAAACAGAGGUCUUGUCUACAAAACAAUUACAACAGUGCGAGGUCUAUUCAGAUCCACAAAAGGUCCAUACCACAUCACUCGACAGGUUUCUCUGGUUGUAACCCAAGAGGUCUACAUCCUUCUUCCAAUGGAAUGAGUCGGCUCAUUGCUUGUCAAUCAAAGCGUACAACAUCUAUUUCAUUAACGAUGGCCCCAUGCAGUGCUUAUCAGUGCAACGGCCCCCAUUACUCCAAUCCUCGAAGCAGCAGUACCAACGGAAGGAACUCCAGAGCAAUUAGUCAGCGCCUAGCGGUCCCUAAUCACUGGUCCAUGGUUGAACACCACAGAUUGUGUUUUAGUUGAUAUUUUAUUUUAACUGUAAUAAAGAGACCUUUUGUAUGACCUUAUAGUGAUGGAGCGACUCCAUUUGGUUUACAAAGCGACCCUCGUAAGAUUGCUAUCACACCCAAUAACAAUUAGACAAAAUCACCCUUCCAUCUCCCACAGACCAAUUGGCAUCAAGAAAAAUCACAGCCGUGAUAACGUAGGGCAUUUGGGAGGGAGACAAAACGGAGUAACUUACUUCAACAAUCACGAAUGCUUCAGCUUCCAAUUAAUCAAAAAUGUCAUUUGUUAAUGAUUCAAUGGCAAUCAUUUAGUCCCCUAUGAUAGGUAAAUAGCGUUUUAAUUAACUGGUUUGAUCACCUGUCAACAUGUGAAUUUUACACUGAAAUGUCAGAUUAGAAUCUAUUUAUAUCACAUUAUUCUAAAACGGAAAUGUAGGUUUUCUGACACCUUCUCACAGUUUUCUGACAUUGCUGAUGAACACGUAGAAACUUUUUUUUUUUUUUAAUGAAACCCUAUGAAAAGAGUGAAUAUUUUAACCAAUUCAUUAAAAAAUUGAAAUGUAUUGCAAACAAUACAACAAAAUGAUAAAAACAAUCUAUCAAACUAAUCCAGGUGUGAUUUAUAAAUGUGUAUGUAAAUAUGAUGAAAUUUCAACUAUUAUAUAUAAUAAUUAAGUGCACAACUUAUCUCAUUAAAGGUAGUCACAAUUUU
rnacentral:sRNA from 1 species